UACGUAGGGUGCGAGCGUUAAUCGGAAUUACUGGGCGUAAAGCGUGCGUAGGCGGUUCGUUAAGUUCGUUGUGAAAGCCCCGGGCUCAACCUGGGAAUGGCAAUGGAAACUGGCGGGCUGGAGUAUGGCAGAGGGGGGUGGAAUUCCGCGUGUAGCGGUGAAAUGCGCAGAUAUCGGGAGGAACACCAAUGGCGAAGGCAGCUUGCUGGGACGGUACUGACGCUGAGGCGCGAAAGCGGUGGGGAGCAAACAGG
rnacentral:rRNA from 1 species